UACGGGGGGAGCAAGCGUUGUUCGGAAUUACUGGGCGUAAAGGGCGCGUAGGCGGUUUGCUAAGUCGAAUGUGAAAACUCUGGGCUUAACCCAGAGCCUGCAUUCGAUACUGGCAGGCUAGAGUUCUGGAGGGGAUAGCGGAAUUCCUGGUGUAGCGGUGAAAUGCGUAGAUAUCAGGAGGAACACCGGUGGCGAAGGCGGCUAUCUGGACAGAGUCUGACGCUGAGGCGCGAAAGCUAGGGGAGCAAACAGG
rnacentral:rRNA from 1 species